rnacentral:rRNA from 1 species
AACGAACGCUGGCGGCAUGCCUAACACAUGCAAGUCGAACGAGACCUUCGUGUCUAGUGGCUCACGGGUGCGUAACGCGUGGGAACCUGCCCUUAGGUUCGGAAUAACUCCCCGAAAUGGGUGCUAAUACCGGAUACUAUCUUCGGACCAAAGAUUUAUCGCCUUUGGAUGGGCCCGCGUUGGAUUAGCGAGUGGUUAGGGUAAACGCCUACCAAGGCGACGAUCCAUAGCUGGUCUGAGAGGAGGAUCAGCCACACUGGGACUGAGACACGGCCCAGACUCGUACGAGAGGCAGCAGUGGGGAAUAUUGGACAAUGGGCGAAAGCCUGAUCCAGCAAGGCCGCGUGAGUGAUGAAGGCCUUAUGGUUGUAAAGCUCUUUUACCCGGGAUGAUAAUGACAGUACCGGGAGAAUAAGCACCGGCUAACUCCGUG